UUCUCUACCAGACGGUUAAAUCCCACAAUGCAAGAAGCGGUGCCCUCUGCUUGCUUGUUAUUUUCUGACAGUUGAGACGCAUCACUGGAUACAAGGAGAUGCGUGUGUGUGUGUGUGUGAAGUUGUGUCUUGUCUCCGUUUUUGUUUUGCUCUUUUCUGGUCAUGAGACCCGGAAGUUUUUUUUUUUUUAAUCACAUGGCAGAGAGAUAUAAUAAAAACAGAAAAAUGGCGACAGUCACGUUGUGGCGAGUCUAUGCUGCGUCAUUAGAUAAUCUUCAUGCAAAGAUCUCUAAGAACAAAGAGGAGAGGGGAAAGGAGCCCCAGCCGCAAAGGAUCCUGGCAUUGGUUCCUUUCCGUCAAGCGAUUGUAAAUAUAGCCUGGAUCUUGUUUACAUGAAGCAUCCAGCGGGAGGAGCCUGGGAGGAGGAAGAUGGAGGAGUCUCCACGGGCACGGCUUGCUGGAGUGAGCUUCCCAAACAGGAAGGAGGAGCCAAGACGGGGCUGGAGUCUCCCUCAAGCAGCCUGGAAGCUGCCUGGUACGUGCGCUUGUCAGUUUCAGAUUCGCUUCCCCUGCCCUCGACCACUGCCAGGCAGAGCUUCACAUCAGCAGCCCUGGGGAGCUGGGUACCAAGCUAUGGCUGCAGGACAGCUGUGCUCUCACCCCUCCCAGACAAGCGACACAAACUUGUUUGAUGGUGCUUUUGUUCCCACAGUGGCAGGCACUGGCACUUACUUCCUGGCUGAGAUCAGCAAGGGAGAAUGCCAGAGGUGCUUUUCCUAGUCUCUGUGCUCCUGUCCACACCCCUCACCCCCUUUGGAGCCACACCUCCAGUUCCCUCUAGCUUUCACUUACAUAGAAGCGUAUUUACUUAUUUAUUCCAAAGAGAGGGCCUCAGUGCAAGUUCAGCUGGACAAAUGGGGCAGGUGCAGGGCCAGAUCCUAGAUCACCAACUUGUUUCCUGACCUAGUAAGUUAUUCUUUAACAAAGUAGAGAGACAUUUUCUUUCCGUUGGCUAAUAAGUGACAAAGGCCAAGUCCAUGGCCCUGGUUCCUGCCAUGCCAGCCUCUGUGAUAGUUAGCAGAUAUUUUCGGCUCAUGCUGCACUGAAUGCAAAAAGCAUCCCCUCCGCCCACAAAUCAGGGCCGGCUUUAGGAAGUGCGGGGCCCAAUUCGAACAGUUUCCAUGGAUCCCCGGCAGGGAUGACUUUAAAAAAACAAACACACACACACACCCCACAUGUAAAAAAACCCAAAGAACAGGGGGCUUGUUCUCACUGGGCGGUGCUCCGAGUCUUUGGUGGCACUUUGGUGGCAGAUCCUUCAUUCGCUCCAGGUCUUCGGUGGCACUGAAGGACCCACCGCCGAAGUGCCACUGAAGACCUGGAGCGCCGUCAGGUGAGUAAAAAUUAAAAAGGCACCUCUAGCCAGGGAAGGGAUUCUCACUGGGCACGGGGCCCUCUUAGGCAUGGGGCCCAAUUCGGGAGAAUUGGUGGAAUAGGCCUAAAGCCAGCCCUGCCCCCAAUCACUACAUUGAGCUCCCCUUACAUGGGAGAUGUUGGUCCAUAUUCAGCUGUGUUCUAAUAAUGGGGGGGGGGGGGUUCUGAGAAAGAUGCUGGGGGAUCCAGGCAGGUUGCUAAUGUUAAAUUUGUUUGAAUAUUUUCGUGUAUUUUCAGGAAGGGGCCUCUAGGAGCUCUUGUUUCCAGAAAAGUGACUGAAUACUUGUCCACAGACUAUAGCUGAUGAAUGAUUAAUAAUGUUUUAGAAACUUAUUUAUUUAAUUAUUCAUACAUUUGGUACACCAACAGCAGCACUUAGACUUCAUCUGUCAGACUGUUAACUCAACCACUAAUCAAUGUUUAAGAGGGGAAGGAAGUCAAAUAGACUAAAAAGGUAAGUAUUGGUGGAAGGAAUUAAGCAGAACAUAGAUAAAGAAUGGAGCAGAUUUUAUAAACAAUUUCCAUUACAGAAUUUUCCUCGAUGGGAGAGUCUCAUAUUGUUGAAUGUACUUGUCUCCUACCUCACUUACAAAUGAAGAAGCAAAUCUUGAAAAACUAAUGAAGAAUUUAAAGCCAUAGAAAAUAUUGCUUUAAUAACUGUCCUGGCACACUAGAGUCUUUCACCUCUAGGUGCUGUAAACUGCACUGUAGGAAGGCACUCCUGCCAUAUUAAAAUUCCAGCAACUUCCUUAAGGAGUAAAGUCGGUCACUUACCCAGUAGCCAAAAGAUCAAUUAUGUCCUUGUAACUGCAGUUUUCUGCUCUUAAGAUCACACUCAAAGUAAAAUAUUUGUAAUAAAGGUGUAUUUUUUCCCCAUUUUUCCUAGCUUUGGAUAAGACAGACCUCUUCCUAUUCAGUGUCAGAGUCGACCUAUAAAAAUCAGAGAUCUAAUUCCAAGCUACAUGCUAGGAGAAAAGAAAGUAAAGUUGCAUUUGUGGGGAGAGGGUAAAUAGCCAAUUUAGUUUUUAGACUCCAAUCAAAAGAAGUGUUGUUUAAGUCAAAAUGCUCAAGAAACGUGGUAAGUUACCAACCCGAAAGAAGAGAGUAGUGGAAAGAGGGGGCGGAAUGGAAAACAAGCAAAAAUAAAAACAAUGAAGAUUAUUUUUUUCAAAAGCAAAAUCUGACAGCAAAAAAAUAGAACAUAGAAUUGAAAACUUUUAAAUCUGAAUAAUAAGCUGAACAAAAAUACACACCGAAAAAUGCACUUGAGUAAAUUUAUGUACUACAUUGAGAUCAGAGGGACUACCCCUGUACGUUUUCAGGAUUCGGACCUAUGUUACCUGACCAUUGAGGAAAGCUUUCUUUUUAAUCUAGAAAAGAAGGUGUUAAAAAGUGAGAAGGCAGAGUAAAUAGAUCACCUUUUCAUCAGCAAAAUGUAAAUACACCUAAAGCAGAGGGUCGGUAGCCUUUCAAAAGUGGUGUGCUUAGUCUUCAUGUAUUCAUUUUAAUUUAAGGUUUCGCGUGUCAGUAAUACGUUUUAACGUUCUUAGAAGGUCUCUUUCUGUAAGUCUAUAAUAUAUAACUAAAUUAUUGUUGUAUGUAAAGUAAAUAAGGUUUAAGAAGCUUCAUUUAAAAUUAAAUUAAAAUGCAGAGCCCCCCAGACCUGGGCAGCAUGAGUGCCACUGAAAAAUCAGCUUCCAUGCUGCCUUUGGCACGCGUGGCAUAGGUUGCCUACCCCUGAUCUAAAGUAUCCAGCCUUUGUGAUGCUAAUAGAAUGCUCUAAUGACAUUUUUGUACCUUUAUAUUGUUCACAUUUUUGAAAGCCAGGAAACACUUAUUUUUUAUAUAAAUCCUUAAUAAACGUGUGCUUCCAGGUUACCUUACGGUUACUAUUUUCAGAAAAUGGCAGAUUAGUCUAAGGAUGCUGAUAAAUUUGCAGUUGAUGGCAAAUAUAUAUUUUAAUAUUUUUGUACAUAUUUGCCCAUUCAUAUUUGCCUCCUGGAACAAUAUUGUAUAACAUAUUGACUGGUCCCUUGUUUAUAUAACAUAUGUUUGUAAUCUGUUUUAAAAAUGCACAAAUAUUUUUUUUCAGGAAGCUGUGUUUCACAUUUGUCUCUGUAUUGCCCUCUUGUGUUAAAAAUAUGUAAGAGACCAUUUUGGUAGUACUUGGACCCAGCUGAAUGUUAAGCAUUUCUGAAUUUUAAAAGCUUUUUAUUUAACUUAAGGAAAUACAUUGUCAGCUUAGUUGAUUAUUUAUGUUAUCCAUAAAGUUCUUGCUCUGCUCCAUUAGAAAUAUUUAAGUACCACUUACACCAAUUAAGUCCGUCAAAUUCUUAAAUGGAACAUGAUGUGAAAUUUAAAAUCUGUUAAUCAAUUUCUUUCCAUUGUGAAACCUGAUGAAACAUUUAUUUUAAUAUGCUGAUUACAGAACUGAUUCACUAGAUUAGUUGUCUUUAUUCAAAGAGAAAAACUACCAUGACUUUUACAGCAGUACUUCCAACAUAAACCAGAGAAAAAUAUUUUGAUAAAUUUCUUUCAUUGUUUGCAAUGUAAUUCUUGAUAUCAGCCGUUUUCAUUUAGACCUCAGUGUAUGGCCCAAAUGAACCAUCACACAGCCUGAACAAACAAGCCCAUCAGACAGCAACUCUUUCUUCAAAUGCCAGGAUCCUUUCCACAUCCAGUGCUUGUUACUAUUUUGGAUUUGAUCCUGCUCCCACUGAAAUCAAUGGCAAAACUUCAAUGGGAGUAGGAUUGGGCCUCAAAGGACCCCAGUGCUGCAGAUACCCCUGUUGGGAUGUUAGCACAUCUGUAAGCGUUUGCAGAAUGGAGGCCUUAGAUGGUACCGUGAAUCCCACAAGACAGAAGCCUUGUCUGUGUGUGUCAAAGUCCUAGCACUUCCAGUGUGGAACAUAAUACUUUGAAACUGAAAAGGUAUUAUAUCAACAUAAUUAACCCAACUAUUAGAUAAUGGGUCCAGAUCCUCCACCAGUGUAAAUUUGUGCCGCUUCGUUGUCUUAAGUGGAACUAUGCCAAUUAUACCAGUUGAAGAUCUUGCCUAUGUAGUUUAUGUAUGAGAACAGCACUCUACUUCAAAUGCUGAUUGAAACCAGAAAAAAAAAAUGAGGGGAAAAAACCUUCAUUCCAUCAGUGAUUAUCUCCAUGGAACGAGUAAAUUAUUUUUCCCCCUGUUAAAAAUCCAAAUCUACAGAUACUGUAUUUAAGACUUAUUGGUAAAAGAUUGUACAGCUCUGAAAAAUACUUUAAAGCUGCAUUGAAUUUAACUGCACUGAUACCAGUAAACCAAGUAAUUUUCAAAAAGAGUGGAUAAAUUAACUGAAGUUUCAGAACACUUUAAUAAAUACAUGUGGAAAUGAACAAACGGGCAUUAAAUCUGUCAUCCAUGUCCUCGAAGAGCUGAACAUCAGUAUUUGAUGUGAUCUUUAUUUUUGAAACACACAAGAGGAAACACUAUGUAAGCACACAAUAAAUUAAGCACUAUUCUCUAUAUGAUACUAACAGACAUAAUGACUGACAGGCUGCCCUGGCUCAGUUAUCACAGUGCUGAUGCUGUCUAUUCUAAAGGUACAGUACUGUGAUAACUGAAGGAUGGCAGCCAUCUUAGCUUCACAAGAACCCAACAAGCAGAAAUAAGAAGAUCUCCUUAUUUUCUGGAUACCGGACAUGCUUUGUUUAUGGAAGUGAUCAUGUGCUAGAGAAGAAAGAUGCUUGAUGUAAGGGUACAUCUUAACUCACUUGAAGAAAAAAAAAUAAAUGGCUUAAAAAAAAAAAAGACCUUUAGUUCUACUGGAAUAUAAAAAAAAAAAAAGUCACUUUAUAUCUGUUGAGUUUGCCUGAUAAUUGACUGACUUUUUCUACUUGGAAGUUCUUUAAAAAAUUUCAGGCUUUGAAUGAGUACUCUAGGCUUUGAAGAAACAUGCUAUAGAGUUUGAAAGAUGAUUAUUCAUGAAGUAACAUUAGAUGGAGGUCCCUAUCCAUUAUGGAACUCAUUGCCACAAGAAAGAAGAAUGGAUUCAGCACCAGAAGCCCACCUCUUCACCCUGGCUCUCUCAAAUUAAAGACCUCCCCCUCCCCACCCCCGCAGGGAAGGUAGAGAAAAAACACUGACAUUUUAAGUAAAGAAAGAUGCCUGUGUACUGUGGUGAUGAGGACCACACAGGUACCCGGAUGGAUCAACAGAAAAUGAGGCAAGUAGUAGUUACAACAUGCAUACCUUCCUUUCUUCAUGAAUCUAUAAUCCCUCCUGUUUUAAAAAUAAAUAAAAAUCAGUAUCUUAGCCCUUAUAAAUAUUUAUGUACUUUCAGAAGACUAAUUCAGCCUCAACAUCUUGCCAUUUAGGUAAAUAAGUGGUGGGCCAGUAUCCUCAUUUUACUAAUUGGGAGCUAGACCAUAGAGCGACAGGAGUGUGCACUAGGCCCCCGUCAAACUGGUGGCAAAGUUGGAUUAGGAUUCAGGAGCUCCUGGCCCCGUCUCCUGCUCAGUCAACUAUUUUAUACUUGCCUCUCCAAAAUGUAAUGAGAUCAAGACUGAAAGAUCACACACAGCUAGGUGAUUUGAUAAGAGGACUAUAAAAGAACCGGAGAGGAGGUGGCAGAGUAUCUGCUCCUGAUUGAAGCCAGAGUCUCUUAUUUUUAUGAGCAUUAACUUUAAAAUAUAUGUUUGGGCUUUUUUAAAGCUGAGAUUUUUGAUACUCCAUCUUUUGGUGUUUUCCUCAGCAAAGACUAUUGUGUGGAGCCUCUGUCCUGUCCAAAUGUUGUUAUAGAUACGAAGCUGCAAUGCUGGAAAAUUAACACUAGAGGGGACCAUUGGAUCAGUUCUCUUGGAAGUGAAGUUUCAAAGAAACUGUUUCAUAAACAGACAUCUGCACAUGUCAACGUGGUGUCCAUUCUCAGCUCUGUAUACUUCCUAAGGAAGUAUACAUGUGUGACACAGUACCCUUCUUGUUACCUGUGAAGGUUUCAUUGAACAGGUGGUCAAUCAGCAGUGAUCUCCCUUUGUUCUCUGUACUGCUCGUGCUACUUUAGACGGGUUAAGAAAACAUUUCCACAUAGACAGAGUGUCCUGCACCUUCCUCCAAAGCACUGGAUACUGGCCUUUGUAGGAGACAGGACAGUGGGUUUGAUGGACCCCUCCUAUGACCCAGUAUGGUAAUUCCUGCUUUGUUUUACUUCUCUAAUCCUUUAAUAUAGACAGGCACUACCACAGCUCUGGUGCUGGACAUAUCUGGGUCUGUAUUUACCUUAGUGCUACAUAGCUAUUAUUGAACAUCUAGCUGGUUUUCAUUGCUUAAAAGGAAGUUGUGGUGGUGUAGUACUAUUAAAGUAACACUUUAGGAGCACCAUUCUGGCAUCAGGACCCCAUCAUGAUAGGUGCUUUACAUGCAUAGAAUAAAAAGACAGUUCUUCCCCCAAAGAGUUUACAUUCUAAAUAGAGAUAACUAAAUACGUUAACUGUCAACUCUCCUCUUCUCGGUGAGUGUAGACGUAGAAGUCAUUUGAUAUGUGUGUGUGUGUGUGUAUUAUUUUUACAUAGGACAAUUAAAGCAUUAUUUAAAGAAA